rnacentral:rRNA from 1 species
UGGGGAAUAUUGGACAAUGGGGGCAACCCUGAUCCAGCCAUGCCGCGUGGGUGACGAAGGCCCUAGGGUUGUAAAGCCCUUUCACCCGUGACGAUGAUGACGGUAGCGGGAGAAGAAGCCCCGGCUAACUCCGUGCCAGCAGCCGCGGUAAGACGGAGGGGGCUAGCGUUGUUCGGAAUUACUGGGCGUAAAGCGCGCGUAGGCGGCUGAUCAAGUCAGGUGUGAAAGGCCCGGGCUCAACCUGGGAACUGCACUUGAGACUGGUUGGCUCGAGUCCGGGAGAGGGUGGUGGAACUCCCAGUGUAGAGGUGAAAUUCGUAGAUAUUGGGAAGAACACCGGUGGCGAAGGCGGCCACCUGGCCCGGCACUGACGCUGAGGCGCGAAAGCGUGGGGAGCAAACAGGAUUAGAUACCCCCGUAGUCC